UCUAAGAUUUUUAUUUUUGUGUUACCCACAUUAGGAAUUCUAAACAUUUUUUGAAUAUCAUAUCAAAAAUUGACCGCUCCAGCGGGGUUCGAACCCGCGUCUCCGACUUGCCGUGUCGGCGCUCUAGCCAAUUAAGCUAUGGAACGAUGCACCCGCUCGAGCGAAAUUUUCGAUAUGAUAAUUUUUAAUUUUCGGUUUAAGCGAACCGUGGCGCCGUCUAUAGUGAGCUCUUUACAGAAACCCGUAACUAUUCAAAGUUUCAUAUUACAAUGAAAAUCUUUGACAGGAGACGAUACCGUGCUAUUUUUAAUAUCUAAGAUUUUUAUUUUUGUGUUACCCACAUUAGGAAUUCUAAACAUUUUUUGAAUAUCAUAUCAAAAAUUGACCGCUCCAGCGGGGUUCGAACCCGCGUCUCCGACUUGCCGUGUCGGCGCUCUAGCCAAUUAAGCUAUGGAACGAUGCACCCGCUCGAGCGAAAUUUUCGAUAUGGUAAUUUUUAAUUUUCGGUUUAAGCGAACCGUGGCGCCGUCUAUAGUGAGCUCUUUACAGAAACCCGUAACUAUUCAAAGUUUCAUAUUACAAUGAAAAUCUUUGACAGGAGACGACACCGUGCUAUUUUUAAUAUCUAAAAUUUUUAUUUUUCAGUACACAGAUCGGAAUGG
rnacentral:tRNA from 1 species